rnacentral:sRNA from 1 species
AGUAUUCUAGUUUUCUAGAAUAGGAAAUUAGUCCAGUGUUAGUAAUUACUAACAGUAAUUUUUAGUAAUAUUUAUCACGGUUUAACCAUUGAAUGCUGGACAAAAAGCAUGUUAGUUGCUGUACUAUUAUUUGACACAGAGAAUAGUGUCUCUCAUUUAUUUAAGGGUUAGUUUGAUGUCUAAGAUUAAAGGUAACGUUAAAUGGUUUAAUGAAUCCAAAGGAUUCGGUUUUAUUACCCCUGAAGAUGGUAGUAAAGAUGUUUUUGUACAUUUCUCUGCCAUUCAGAGUAACGGUUUUAAAACAUUAGCUGAAGGUCAGCGUGUAGAGUUUGAAAUUACUAAUGGCGCCAAAGGCCCAUCAGCUGCUGACGUUAUUGCUAUCUAAUACUAGUUAGUAGCUUUUAUCCUGAAACCCGCUGUUUGCGGGUUUUUUG